CAGAUGUUUAGGUGUGAUGUGUUCAAGUUCACGUGGAGGUGCCAUGUUCAUACAGAUGUUUAGCUGUGGUGUGUUCAGGUUCACGCGGAGGUGCCAUGUUCAUACAGAUGAUCAGCUGUGGUGUGUUCAGGUUCACGUGGAGGUGCCGUGUUCAUACAGAUGUUUAGCUGUGGUGUGUUCAGGUUCACGCGGAGGUGCCGUGUUCAUACAGAUGUUUAGCUGUGGUGUGUUCAGGUUCACAUGGAGGUGCCGUGUUCAUACAGAUUUUUAGCUGUGGUGUGUUCAUACAGAUGUUUAGCUGUGGUGUGUUCAGGUUCAUACAGAUGUUUAGCUGUGUUGUGUUCAUACAGAUGUUUAGCUGUGGUGUGAUCAUCCAGAUGUUUAGCUGUGGUGUGUUCAGGU
ensembl:lncRNA